GCUCAUAGCUAAUCUGAUCUAAUUUAAUAUAGAGUUAAUUUUGUAUAAUUUCCUACAAACAUAAUAAAUGACAAAUAUAUUCCAGUAAAAUUCAACUUUUAUACAUUGUAUGUCUCUGUAAAGUUCUGAUAUUUACAAAUAUGUUCCUACCGUUAGAAUCCGUUAGAAAAAUUUAGUUAAUCAUAGGUUAAAUACUUAAUCCUGAUUAAUUUUUGACAUUUUUAUCGCUUUAUGUUAUACUGUUAUGACUUUUAGAGUGAUAUAUUUAUAAUGAUAAAAUUAAAAAUAUAAAUAGUUCUUUAACGGUUCUCUAACAGUAACAAACAAGAGAUUUAUAUUUGAAAACAUUAGAACUUUUGUAGGGAUAACAUAUGAAAGUUGAACUUUAUAGAGAUAUAUUUGUCAUUCUACUGUAUUUGCAAGGAUCUGUAUGAAAUUAAUCCUUUAAUAUAAUCUUCGAU
rnacentral:lncRNA from 1 species